GAUAACUGCGGGAAACUGUAGCUAAUACCGGAUACGACACCUUGGGGCAUCCCGAGGUGUGGAAAGAAUUUCGGUCAAGGAUGAGCUCGCGGCCUAUCAGCUAGUUGGUGAGGUAAUGGCUCACCAAGGCGACGACGGGUAGCCGGCCUGAGAGGGUGACCGGCCACACUGGAACUGAGACACGGUCCAGACUCCUACGGGAGGCAGCAGUGGGGAAUAUUGCACAAUGGGCGAAAGCCUGAUGCAGCAACGCCGCGUGAGGGAUGACGGCCUUCGGGUUGUAAACCUCUUUUAGCAGGGAAGAAGCGAAAGUGACGGUACCUGCAGAAAAAGCACCGGCUAACUACGUGCCAGCAGCCGCGGUAAUACGUAGGGUGCAAGCGUUGUCCGGAAUUAUUGGGCGUAAAGAGCUCGUAGGCGGUUUGUCGCGUCUGCUGUGAAAAUCCAAGGCUCAACCUUGGACCUGCAGUGGGUACGGGCAGACUAGAGUGCGGUAGGGGAGAUGGGAAUUCCUGGUGUAGCGGUGGAAUGCGCAGAUAUCAGGAGGAACACCAAUGGCGAAGGCACAUCUCUGGGCCGUAACUGACGCUGAGGAGCGAAAGCGUGGGGAGCGAACAGGAUUAGAUACCCUGGUAGUCCACGCCGUAAACGGUGGGUGCUAGUUGUGGGCCACAUUCCACGUGGUCCGUGACGAAGUUAACACAUUAAGCACCCCGCCUGGGGAGUACGGUCGCAAGACUAAAACUCAAAGGAAUUGACGGGGGCCCGCACAAGCGGCGGAGCAUGCGGAUUAAUUCGAUGCAACGCGAAGAACCUUACCAAGGCUUGACAUAUAGAGGAAACGUGCAGAAAUGUACGCCCCGCAAGGUCUCUAUACAGGUGGGUGCAUGGGUUGUCGUCAGCUCCGUGUCGUGAAGAUGUUGGGGUUAAGUCCCCGCAACGAAGCGCAACCCUUCGUCCUAUUGUUGCCAGCACGUAAAAGU
rnacentral:rRNA from 1 species